GAACGCGAAAGCCCCGCAAGGGGUAAGUAGAGUGGCAGACGGGUGAGUAACGCGUGGGUGACCUACCUUCGAGUGGGGGAUAACGUUCCGAAAGGGACGCUAAUACCGCAUGACAUCCUGCCUUUGAACAGGUGGUGAUCAAAGCCGGAACCGCAAGGUCUGGCGCUUGAUGAGGGGCCCGCGUCCGAUUAGCUAGUUGGUGGGGUAAUGGCUCACCAAGGCGACGAUCGGUAGCCGGCCUAAGAGGGCGGACGGCCACACUGGGACUGAGACACGGCCCAGACUCCUACGGGAGGCAGCAGUGGGGAAUUGUUCGCAAUGGGCGCAAGCCUGACGACGCAACGCCGCGUGGAGGAUGAAGAUCUUCGGGUCGUAAACUCCUGUCGAGCGGGACGAAAGAUCCGCGACCUAAUACGUCGUGGAAGUGACGGUACCGCUAGAGGAAGCCCCGGCUAACUCCGUGCCAGCAGCCGCGGUAAUACGGGGGGGGCUAGCGUUGUUCGGAAUUACUGGGCGUAAAGGGCUCGUAGGUGGCCAACUAAGUCAUGCGUGAAAUCCCUCGGCUUAACCGGGGAACUGCGUCUGAUACUGGAUGGCUUGAAUCCGGGAGAGGGAUGCGGAAUUCCAGGUGUAGCGGUGAAAUGCGUAGAUAUCUGGAGGAACACCGGUGGCGAAGGCGGCAUCCUGGACCGGCAUUGACACUGAGGAGCGAAAGCCAGGGGAGCAAACGGGAUUAGAUACCCCGGUAGUCCUGGCCCUAAACGAUGAAUGCUUGGUGUGACGGGUAUCGAUCCCUGUCGUGCCGAAGCUAACGCAUUAAGCAUUCCGCCUGGGGAGUACGGUCGCAAGGUGAAACUCAAAGGAAUUGACGGGGGCCCGCACAAGCGGUGGAGCAUGGGUUCAAUUCGACGCACGAACUUCCAGGCUUGACAGCGAUGACCCUCCGAAGAGCUUCCCUUAGCUGCAUGCAUUGUUCC
rnacentral:rRNA from 1 species